rnacentral:rRNA from 1 species
GAUGAACGCUGGCGGCGUGCCUAAUACAUGCAAGUCGAGCGAACGGACGAGAAGCUUGCUUCUCUGAUGUUAGCGGCGGACGGGUGAGUAACACGUGGAUAACCUACCUAUAAGACUGGGAUAACUUCGGGAAACCGGAGCUAAUACCGGAUAAUAUUUUGAACCGCAUGGUUCAAAAGUGAAAGACGGUCUUGCUGUCACUUAUAGAUGGAUCCGCGCGGCAUUAGCUAGUUGGUAAGGUAACGGCUUACCAAGGCAACGAUGCGUAGCCGACCUGAGAGGGUGAUCGGCCACACUGGAACUGAGACACGGUCCAGACUCCUACGGGAGGCAGCAGUAGGGAAUCUUCCGCAAUGGGCGAAAGCCUGACGGAGCAACGCCGCGUGAGUGAUGAAGGUCUUCGGAUCGUAAAACUCUGUUAUUAGGGAAGAACAUAUGUGUAAGUAACUGUGCACAUCUUGACGGUACCUAAUCAGAAAGCCACGGCUAACUACGUG